rnacentral:rRNA from 1 species
UACAGAGGGGGCAAGCGUUAUUCGGAAUUAUUGGGCGUAAAGGGCGCGUAGGCGGCUUUGCAAGUGACGGGUGAAAUCCCUCGGCUUAACCGAGGAACUGCCUGUCAAACUGCAUGGCUUGAGACCGGGAGAGGUGAGUGGAAUUCCUGGUGUAGCGGUGAAAUGCGCAGAUAUCAGGAGGAACACCGGUGGCGAAGGCGGUUCUCUGGGCCUUACCUGACGCUGAGGAGCGAAAGCGUGGGGAGCAAACAGG